CGCUGCUCAUCCUCGUCUUCCACUUCCACACAGAUUGCUUGUGUGCUUCCUUACUUGUACGGGGGCUGCUUGCGCUGGGCCUGCGUUCUCGGGUAGUUCAUGUCUGGGCGGCUGGACCUGGGGACUGGACUGCUUCUGUUGUGGAUUAGCGAGACUUGUGUAGGCGAUCGAUUUGUCGCUCUCAUAUAUAUAGUUUUUGGCUGGGCGGUAAUGCCGCCAUUCCUCUGGUGGAGAUAUCAGAUAUGAGUUUGAUUACUGCGUUCCAAGCUCUUCUCAUUGAGGCGACCUGUUCGUUCUCAACUGUGCCAUGGUGUUUCUGCACUUAAUGCGAAGAGCUUCGAGCGGGUGUUCCUCUUUUUUUUUCUGCACAUAAUGUGUUGUGUACUUGUGUGUGUUCCUUCUGGUGAUUUCGUCUUGCUCUUUGGACAUGCAACAGAAUCACGUUUUUACGUUUCUGUUUGUAUACGAAUCGAUCCAUCCUAUUCCUAAAGACCUAAACCAGCCAAUAAACGUGAUGACCAUUUUCAAUUCAGGGGCAUCUCGCUAUCUCGUCCUCCUGGGCGCUUGGGAGAACGGCAACCGCCAGCCGGCCGAGCCAAGGCCAAGCCAUGGUGGAGUCCAGUGGCCACCGGAGCACCGUCCCCGCGGCCGUCGGCUUCUUCAGGGUCCCGGGCCUCUUCGUGAGGCUGAGCGGCAAGGGCGGAGCGAGCAAUGCCGUGGACCCGGAGGACUCGGUCUGGAGCCCGACCUCCCCGCUGGACCUGAAGCACGUCAUCAGGUGCAGCCCGCCGAGGGCCUGCCUCGGCCUCGCCGACGCCCUCACCGCCGACGGGACCGGUUCCCUGCACUCAGGGGGCAGGAGCUCGUUCGUCGACUCCAUCAAGCCGUUCCUCGAGCGGGCGCUGCCCAAGGCGGCGUGCGGGAAGGAGGCUGCUGCUGCUGCCUCCUCGUCGGCCGGCGUCGUCGCCGCAACCCUGGGCAAACAGGCGAGCGAGUACGCCGACUGCGAGGAGUACACUUGCGUCAUCUCGCGCGGGGCCGACCCGAGGACCACGCACAUCCUCGCCGGCGAGACGGUGGAGGUGCGCAGGGGCGACGUAGGUGGUGGCUGCAGGAAGGUGGUUUUCAUCAUCGAGCCGUUGGCAUUGAGCGACCGGCAGCCGCGCGCGUCUUCGUCUUCGUCGCCGGCGGCACCCGCUAGAGUCGUCGCGUCCGGCCGUUGCUGCUGCUGCAUGAAGAGGCUGCUGGAGGACCGGGACAUCUUCAUCUACCUGGGCGAGAAGGCCUUCUGCAGCGACGAGUGCAGGAACGGGUUCAUCGAGGAGGCGGCGGAGGAGGAGCUCAUGAUUCUGGAUCCUGCUCGAAAUCUUUGAUCAAGAUUUGUUAGCUGCCGUGGCAAAAGUAGAGAGUGUAAUAUUUGCCCGCAAUAUUUUGCUUCUGCCUUCAACUUGGGGACUACUUGGCUGGGAGAGUGAGUGGGGGAAGGACAAAGGAAAUUGCCUCUCGUUCAAGUUUUUCGGUAAGGAGAGGUCGUGUCGUGUCCCGGUUUGGCCAACCAGUGCAACGGCCGAGCCAGCCAAUUUCCGUGGUUUGUUGAGCUCCAUUUUGGCUACUGUCAGAUUAGUAGCUCUUCGCCAUCAAUAUAUUACUACUGUUUUGUUUAAGGCCAGUUUAUGCCUUUUUGUUC